ensembl:lincRNA
AUGCACCUCUGUAAGUUGCCAGUGUGUUCUCGCCCUCAGAAGCCGGAGCCCGGGUCCCAGCAAGGAGGAGCUGGGGUGGGCCCUGGCUCAGCGGCUGCAGGCGCUGCUUCCCAGGCCAACCUCGCUAUGCCCCAAUGCCUUGCAGCCAGCCCAGCGGCACCAGGCGCCGCAAGGCCUCCCUGGAAGAUAUUUGCUUUGGCAGCAGCAGGCUUUGGAUGUGGACGUAUCCAGCACGACUGCCCUGUGGCUCCUCUGGGUGACUGUGCCCCUCUGCAGCCCUCCUCGGUCAGGCCCACAAGGGGCCCCUUCUCUACCGGUGACCACCGCUGUAAGCCACCCCCAUUCCCUUAGCGGGUUCAGUCUGCGCACGGUCCACCUGGAGCUGUGGCAGAAGUCUAAUAGAACCUCUUCGGAAUGCUGUAUUUUUGCCUGCUUGUGAUUUCUAUUUUGAGCAGUGCUUGCUGAUCUGCUAACACCAACAGCUGAUAAAGGCCUCUGAUACUGACAGCGGCCAGCACCCAGACCUGCUAAGUCUAAAAGCUGCUGGUGCUGAAAGGUGGCCAGCAGCUGGGGUUUAUGGUACCGAAGGCAGCUGACAGUCAGAGCACACUGGAGCACACAGAGAAUUGCAGGACCUGCUCGCUCUGGUCACUGGAAGAGUUCUGAGGCCUGCUGGCAGUUGUUGGCUCUAAGAAGCAAGGAGGGCCACGAAUGCAAAGAGCUGAUAGCCAUGAGCAUUCAUAGCUCAGGUGGUUAACGCUGAAAGAGCUACACUUUGCCAGUUAAUGACUUCUCCAUGAACUGAACAAGAACCCACAGCCAUGUGGUAACAUCUCAGAAGCCUGAACUGGGAGCCUCCCCAUACAGGGCCCUGAAGAAGAGGGCAGCCAAUGAUGGUCAUAGUGGCUCAAGAAUUGGCCCAGGCCGGAUUUCUUUCUCUUUCUUUUCCCCCAGGCCUGAUUUCUAUCUAAGAAUCCAUAUUAGCCAGUGACAGUAUGAGGGAUGAAUUGGGGGGGUGGGGAACAGGUAGGCAGGUGUCCUAGGCAAAGUCUGGGUUAAAGUCGCUUGUACUGGGCCGGGGACAUAACUCAGUGGCACAAGCUCUUGCCUGGUGAGCACAAGGUCCUGAGUUCCAUUCCUAGGAUGGGAAAAAAAAAAAAGAAUGAAUUCUGCCAGGGAUAUAGCUCAGCGGCAAAAGCGCCUGCCUGGCAAGCACAAGGUCCUGUGUUCGAUUCCUGGUACAAAAAACAAAACAAAACAAAACAACAAACAUGUGGGAGUGCAGCUCAGUGGUCAAAUACUUGCCUAAAAUGUACAAGGCCCUGGGGUCCAUCCCCAGUACAGGAAAAAAAAAAUCGAAAAAUAAAAAGUUUCAUAAAGUAAAAGAAUCAUGUUUUUUUUUUUUUUUUUUUUUUCCGCUACCGGGAACCGAACUCACGACCUUGCGCUUGCCAGGCAGGCGCUUUUGCCGCUGAGCUAAAUCCCCAGCCCAAGAAUCAUCUUGUUUGUACUAUAUUACCUAUACCUAUUGGUCUUUUCCUUGAUCCCUGAGUGUAUGAUUGGGGUUGACACACUUAGAACACACAAGUGGAACUACAACGCUGAGCCCUUGGUUUGUGGGGUAUGGCUACCAGAGGGCAAAAGCCAAGUGGAGGUCGCUAGAAUGUGCCUUACCACCCCCAAUGAAGGAUAUAAAUUAAAAACCAACAUUUCCUCCUGCAGGGAUGGCCAUUAAUGCCAUCCUUCAGCCUGCAAAUACUCAGGGGUAGCGGUCCCUAUCACAGCUCCAUGUAACUCACCUGCCUCGUCUCAGCAGAAACAGGCACAACCCGGCAGGUGGAUGAGACCACCAUCCGUGUGACCAGGCAGGUGCCCACUUGCAGCUGCCCUGCCGUCUGUGGGACCUGCUAGAGCAGACGGGUCCAACCGCAGAUACUUAGUACACAAACACUGACUGGGCAGAUGUGUUCUCUUCUAAUCCAGUCAGCAAAGGGGAUGAUGAGACAGCUCACAUGGGGUGAACUGGGCACUAGUAUAAUUUGUAGCUUUGCCUAGGAUUAUGUCCAGUCUCCUGCCCUCUUUCAUAUCAUAGUUUGAAGAGAAAAGACUCUGGACGUCGGCAGGACAUGGCAAUUUUGUGUGAAAAGGUCCAGAUGAGAAGAAAGUGGUUGAAUCUAGGAGGUCACAGCAACACACACGUGCUCCUGGGGGUGGGAAACAAACCCUGUAAACAGCCAGAGGGCUGGGAAAGUGGGAAAGUCUUCAGGUGUCCAGUGAUCGGAGAGCGGCGGGAUAUCUCUCCUAAAGCAACUGAAGGGGGAAUUAGAAGUCCUCUUGUCUCCCACGUUCAUUUGGAAAUAUCUGAGUCAUUCCAGUGGAGAUGUGAGUGGGCGAGGGCAAGGGACUGGGGCUCAGCCCAUGUGUCUCUCGUGCACGUUACGAGGUGAGAAAGAACCCGGCAGCAGGUGUCUAUUGUCAUCGGCUUGUCACUGCCACCUGUCUUCUGUGAUACUUUCUAGUCUCAGCAUCCUUCUCCUUCUCUGCCUCCUGCUUCUCCCUGAUUGCUGCCUGUCUCCUGUGACCCACUGUAUUUCAGUCAAGCUGCACGGUGUCUACCCACCGUGUCACUGCCGCGCUCCCAGGGCCGGGGUAAGGUUACAUAGACGUGUUACAUAGACAAAAGCUGGGCAGUGUUUGUCCAGGAGCUGCAGGGUCCUGCUUUCUGAGCUCUUGAUGCCCUCUACUGCCCACUGGCAAAUCCUCUUCCUUUUUAGCAGAACCUGGGCACAAGGAGACGGGCAGAGCCUGGGUUCUGAGCUGAUCUCUGCCCUGACCUUGUGGGAAGAGACUUUUCCCUUGUCUGGGUCUCAGUUUCUUCGUGUCUCAAGCUGGCCAGUUACACUCAGUGACCUCUAUGACCCUGUCCGGUCCUGCGGUUCAGUUCACCACAUGGAGGGUUAAAGGUGGGCGGCCUUCUCACAGCAGUGCUUUCAUAUUAAAGACUGUGUUCCUCUCCUGUGGGGCUGUUGUAAUAUUAUCACCACCCCGACAGUUCCGGAGGCCAGAAGCCCACUCAAGGUUUCUGUAGGCUCUCAGGCAAAUCCUUCCUUGCUUCCCCUGGCUUCCAGCAGCUGCACUGUCCCUUGGCCUGUGGCUUCCUCGCUCUCAACUGCACCCACUCUCAUACCUCCUUCUUCUCCUCUUUGUCCAGGUCUUCUCUCCUCCCUUCCAGGUACCCAUCAUUGCAUACAGAGCCCUCUUUGUAAUCCACAAUGACCUCCCUGGGACCUUUUUCAUUCCAUCUACAAAGAUACUUUGCCAAGUUAGUCCCAGGUUCUGGAUGUGGGUUAUCCUUCCAGGGCAUCAUUCACCCACUGCAAGGGCUAAAGUUUUAAAUCUAAGCAGUGUGUCUCCUGUGGGUGAGAGGAGAAGAGGAGAGGAGAGGACAGCCUGGGCUCCUAAAGAUCGCCUGGAAGACUGCAGCUUUCCCCGGAGCCGCCUCUGCCUGCAGGCUGAAAUGCACCUCUCCCGGGCUCCUAGGGCUGAGAGUCCCGUGGGUUGAGGGGCUGAGAAAGCUGUUUCGAGGGGAGGACUGAGCAACGGGGCUGCACAGAGCCCACGGGAAAGGGAUGGGCAUCGUUGGCAUUGAGUUCGCUAACUCCCACCUCCUCUGGCCGGGGGAGGGCCUGGCAAAUAAGACUCUCACGUGGAUGGACGGAUUUUUCUCCAUUGGCUUGUGCCCCUCUCAGCCCAGGCCCACACUGCCAGCUCACUGGUCAGCACAGCUGCAGCACUAAUUGGGACACUCUCCUGCUCAAACACCUCCCAUGGCUCCCUGCUCCUGCUGAGUGAAGUCUAAACUCCUUCAAGGUCGGCCAUCACAACAAACCUCCGUAUGUCUCCAGCGUGAGAAUACAGAGUUCCUUUCCUGAAGUCCUUCCCCUUCUGGCUGUUCCUCGAACCUACCCCUAGACCCUCUCCCUCAGGGCCACUGUCCUCUCCGGGAAUGAAGCCUCUUCCAGCAACCCAAACCCUAGCUAUCUUUAAAGUCUCAGCUCAGUGACUCUUCCUGUAAGCAGCCCUUCCGAUUUCCCGAGGUGGACGUGACCAUUUUGUCCCCCAUAUCUCUCUGAAGACGUGUCCUGCCUUCCAUCUUGUCCCACUGCUGUUUGUGCAUAGGACCCUUUUCCAGUACAGAGGUCACCCCCAUCGGCAAGAGCUGCAACAGCUGGCUUUUAUUAUUUUUGGUUUUUUUCCAGCUCACUUUAUAUCCAAGCACCUCACACAGUGUUUAGCACAUAACAUUUGCUUUUUUUCUUCAAAUGUGGGCUGGGGAUGUAGCUCGGUGGUACAGAACUCUGGCUAGAAUGUGUGAAGCAAAACAAACAAAUACUGAGGACCAGCCUGACAUGGUACAGACCAGACAAUAAUUAAUAUUAAUAAAUUGGCACAAAGAUGAAUAGAGAGGCUGUCCUAAACCUACAUGACUUGUGGUGAGACUCCCGGCUGGCUUAAGGGCAGAUUAAUCUUUAAGGCAAUAGCCAGAGCAGAGGCUAGCGAACAGUCUGUGA